rnacentral:tRNA from 4 species
CGCGGGGUAGAGCAGUUUGGUAGCUCGCAAGGCUCAUAACCUUGAGGUCACGGGUUCAAGUCCUGUCUCCGCAA